UUGCGAAGGCAGCUUACAAAAAGUGUAACUGACACUGAUGCACGAAAGCGUGGGUAUCAAACAGGAUUAGAUACCCUGGUAGUCCACGCCGUAAACUAUGAUUACUCAGAGCAUGCGAUAUAAUGUAUGCUCUCAAGCGAAAGCAUUAAGUAAUCCACCUGGGGAGUACGUCGGCAACGAUGAAACUCAAAGGAAUUGACGGGGGCCCGCACAAGCGGAGGAACAUGUGGUUUAAUUCGAUGAUACGCGAGGAACCUUACCUGGGAUUGAAAUGUAUAGGACAGGGGAUGGAAACAUUCUUUUUCUCUUCGGAGACUUAUAUGUAGGUGCUGCAUGGUUGUCGUCAGCUCGUGCCGUGAGGUGUCGGCUUAAGUGCCAUAACGAGCGCAACCCUUAUCGUUAGUUACUAGCGGGUAAUGCUGAGGACUCUAGCGAGACUGCCGUCGUAAGGCGAGAGGAAGGUGGGGAUGACGUCAAAUCAGCACGGCCCUUAUAUCCAGGGCGACACACGUGUUACAAUGGUGAGGACAAAGGGUAGCUACCUGGUGACAGGAUGCCAAUCUCCAAACCUCAUCUCAGUUCGGAUCGAAGUCUGCAACUCGACUUCGUGAAGCUGGAUUCGCUAGUAAUCGCGCAUCAGCCAUGGCGCGGUGAAUACGUUCCCGGGCCUUGUACACACCGCCCGUCAAGCCAUGGGAGCUGGGGGUACCUGAAGUACGUGACCGCGAGGAGCGUCCGAGGGUAAGACCGGUGACUGGGGCUAAGUCGUAACAAGGUAUGG
rnacentral:rRNA from 1 species